GCCGGGCAUGGUGGUGCAUGUCUGUAAUCCCAGCUACUCAGGAGGCUGAGGCAGGAGAAUCACUUGAACCCAGGAGGUGGAGGUUGCAGUGAGCCGAGAUCACGCCACUGCACUCCAGCCUGGGUGAUAGAGUGAGACUCUGUCUCAA
rnacentral:SRP_RNA from 2 species